UUACGCUGUUAUCCCUAAGGUAAUUUAAUCUUAUAAUCAAAAUCAAGGGAUCAGCCAAUUAUAAAUCAAUAUAACCAAAAUAAAGAGGAGUUAAAUUAUAUUCCUCUCAUCGCCCCAACAAAACAUAUAGGCCCACUUAAUUAAAUAAAACAAACAAUACACAAAAAUAGACCAAAUGUUAAACUCUAUAGGGUCUUCUCGUCCCAUAAAAACAUUUAAGAAUUUUAACUCAAAAACUAAAUUCAAUAAAACAUUCACCAACUUAAGACAGCUCGUAUCUCGUCAAGCCAUUCAUUCCAGAUCACAAUUAAAGAACUAAUGAUUAUGCUACCUUUGCACGGUCAAAAUACCGGGGCCCUUCAACACUCAGUCAGCGGGCAGGCCAUACUUCAAAAACUAACAAGAAAAGAUGUUUUUGAUAAACAGGCG
rnacentral:rRNA from 1 species